UACGUAGGGUGCGAGCGUUAAUCGGAAUUACUGGGAGUAAAGCGUGCGCAGGCGGUCUGUUAAGACCGAUGUGAAAGCCCCGGGCUCAACCUGGGAAUGGCAUUGGAAACUGGCGAGCUAGAGUGUGGCAGAGGGGGGUGGAAUUCCGCGUGUAGCAGUGAGAUGCGUAGAGAUGCGGAGGAACACCGAUGGCGAAGGCAGCCCCCUGGGCUAGCACUGACGCUCAGGCACGAAAGCGUGGGGAGCAAACAGG
rnacentral:rRNA from 1 species